rnacentral:rRNA from 1 species
GUGCCAGCAGCCGCGGUAAUACGUAGGUGGCAAGCGUUAUCCGGAAUUAUUGGGCGUAAAGCGCGCGCAGGUGGUUUCUUAAGUCUGAUGUGAAAGCCCACGGCUCAACCGUGGAGGGUCAUUGGAAACUGGGAGACUUGAGUGCAGAAGAGGAAAGUGGAAUUCCUAGUGUAGCGGUGAAAUGCGUAGAGAUUAGGAGGAACACCAGUGGCGAAGGCGGCUUUUUGGCCUGUAACUGACACUGAGGCGCGAAAGCGUGGGGAGCAAACAGGAUUAGAAACCCCUGUAGUCC